rfam:Camelus ferus unplaced genomic scaffold scaffold331, whole genome shotgun sequence.
GGAGGGUACAGCUCAGUGGUAGAGGGCCUGUUUAGCAGGCACGAGGUCCUGGGUUCAAUCCCCAGUCCCUCCA